AAGAUCAUACUUCACAGGAUCAGUUCUGUAGGAGUUGAUCUCAUUCUCCCUCCCUAACAUGGGAGUUGAUGUAACCAUGAUGAGGAGUUACAGCCCUCUUCUCUGAGCGUGAGAACGACACGAGCUCCCGACUUGUUCGAGAGCUCUGUCAUCGAUGAUCGUUCUUUCUCUGUACUUAGUGCAGAGGGGUUGGGAAGUAGAGCUUUCUGAGUGGU